CCUACGGGUGACAGCAGUGAGGAAUAUUGGUCAAUGGACGAGAGUCUGAACCAGCCAAGUAGCGUGAAGGAUGACUGCCCUAUGGGUUGUAAACUUCUUUUAUAUGGGAAUAAAACAGGGUAUGCAUACCCUCUUGUAUGUACCAUAUGAAUAAGGCUCGGCUAACCCCGUGCCAGCAGUCGCGGUAAUACGGAGGGUCCGAGUGUUAUCCCGAUUUAUUGGGUUUAAAGGGAGCGUAGGUGGAUUGUUAAGUCAGUUGUGAAAGUUUGCGGCUCAACCGUAAAAGUGCAGUUGAAACUGGCAGUCUUGAGUGCAGUAGAGGUGGGCGGAAUGCGUGGUGUAGCGGUGAAAUGCUUAGAUAUCACGAAGAACUCCGAUUGCGAAGGCAGAUCACUGGACUGCAACUGACACUGAUGCUCGAAAGUGUGGGUAUCAAACAGGAUUAGAUACCCGUGUAGUC
rnacentral:rRNA from 1 species